rnacentral:rRNA from 1 species
CCCUUAGAUGUUCUGGGCCGCACGCGUGCUACACUGAUGCAUUCAACGAGUCUAAAACCUGGUCUGAUAGGGCUGGGUAAUCUUUUGAAAGUGCAUCGUGAUUGGGAUAGAUGAUUGCAAUUCUUCAUCUUCAACGAGGAAUGCCUAGUAAACGCAAGUCAUCAGCUUGCAUUGAUUACGUCCCUGCCCUUUGUACACACCGCCCGUCGCUCCUACCGAUUGAAUGAUCCGAUGAAUACCAUGGAUUGAGAGUACGAAUAGGUUCGCUUAUUUCUGCUGCUCGAGAAGUGGAGUAAAUCUUAUCAUUUAGAGGAAGGAGAAGUCAUAACA